rnacentral:rRNA from 1 species
CGGCGGACGGGUGAGUAACACGUGGGUAACCUACCUAUAAGACUGGGACAACUUCGGGAAACCGGAGCUAAUACCGGAUAAGAUAUCGAACCGCAUGGUUCGAUAGUGAAAGAUGGUUUUGCUAUCACUUAUAGAUGGGCCCGCGCCGUAUUAGCUAGUUGGUGAGGUAACGGCUCACCAAGGCAACGAUACGUAGCCGACCUGAGAGGGUGAUCGGCCACACUGGAACUGAGACACGGUCCAGACUCCUACGGGAGGCAGCAGAU